rnacentral:rRNA from 1 species
GACGAACGCUGGCGGCGUGCUUAACACAUGCAAGUCGAACGGAAAGGCCCUGCGUUUGUGGGGUGCUCGAGUGGCGAACGGGUGAGUGACACGUGAGUAACCUGCCCUUGACUUUGGGAUAACUUCAGGAAACGGGGGCUAAUAUCGGAUAGGAGAUCCUGCUGCAGGGUGGGGGUUGGAAAGUUGCGGCGGGUGGGGAUGGACUCGCGGCUUAUGAGCUUGUUGGUGGGGUAGUGGCUUACCCAGGCAUUGACGGGUAGCCGGCCUGAGAGGGUGACCGGCCACAAGGCGACUGCGGGACGGAGCAGACGCGUACGUUAGGCAGUAGUGGGGAGCAUUGCACAGUGAGCGGACGCCUGAGGCAGAGACGCCGCGUGCGGGAUGACGGCUUGUGGGUUGUAAACAGCUGUCGCCUGUGACGAAGCGUGAGUGACGGUAAUGAGUAAAUAAGCACCGGCUAACUACGUG